UUGACGGGGCCGCACAAGCGGAGGAACAUGUGGUUUAAUCGAUGAUACGCGAGGAACCUUACCGGGCUUGAAAUGCAUCUGACCGGCCUUGAAAGAGGUUUUUCCCCUUCGGGGCAGAUGUGUAGGUGCUGCAUGGUUGUCGUCAGCUCGUGCCGUGAGGUGUCGGCUUAAGUGCCAUAACGAGCGCAACCCUCAUCAUUAGUUACCAUCAGGUAAGGCUGGGGACUCUAAUGAGACUGCCAUCGUAAGAUGUGAGGAAGGUGGGGAUGACGUCAAAUCAGCACGGCCCUUACGUCCGGGGCGACACACGUGUUACAAUGGGUGGUACAAAGGGCAGCUACCUGGCGACAGGAUGCUAAUCUCCAAAACCACUCUCAGUUCGGAUCGGAGUCUGCAACUCGACUCCGUGAAGCUGGAUUCGCUAGUAAUCGCGCAUCAGCCACGGCGCGGUGAAUACGUUCCCGGGCCUU
rnacentral:rRNA from 1 species